rnacentral:rRNA from 1 species
GACGAACGCUGGCGGCGUGCCUAAUACAUGCAAGUCGAGCGGACGGAUGGGAGCUUGCUCCCAGACCGUCAGCGGCGGACGGGUGAGUAACCCUUGGGCACCUUCCCUUUACUUUUGGGUAAAUUCCGGGAACUCGGGGCUAUUACCGGUAAACUCUUCUCCUCCCUUGUGGGAAUGGUGAAAUAUCGCAUCUUGCUAUUACUCACACAGCGUCCCGCGGUGCAUUAGCUAGUUGGUGUGGUAACGGCUCACCAAGGCGGCGAUGCGUAGCCGACCGGAGGGGGUGAUCGCCGACACGGGAAGUGAACCGCGGCCAAGACGCCUACGGGAGGCAGCAGUAGGGAAUCUGCCGCAGUGGACGAAAGUCUGACGGAGCAACGCCGCGUGAGUGAUGAAGGUUUUCGGAUCGUAAAACUCUGUUGUCAGGGAAGAACAAGUACCGGAGUAACUGCCGGUACCUUGACGGUACCUGGCCAGAAAGCCACGGCUAACUACGUG